UAUACUUUAUCAACAGCGCGAAUAUUCUACAUAUGUGCUACCUGUUGAAAACAACAUGUUAGCUGAACUAUUCGAUAUUAUGUUAUUUAACUAAUAUGUUUGGAAAGACAGUAUAAUCAGUCAUUGGAGUCGUGACUUAUGGAUGAGCUCAAAAAGACUCGUGGUAUACACAGACGCGUUGCUGUUGUUAAAAUACAGGAAGCAAAUGAAAAGGAUGUUGACCUUUCAAAACUUCAAGCUAUUAUAAAAAUUCUUAAAAAGAAAAAAAAAAAUGAUUGAAAAUUUAGACAAAGCCAUUCAAGAUAAAACCGAUGAUGAACAUAAGGAAACAGAAAUUAUAGAAGCUGAUGAGUAUAUUUUUGAAAUUGUAGAGGCGAUUGUUAGAUACAAGGAAAUUUUAUCGAGACCGGAAAAAUGGUCAUUAAUAUUAUUCGACAAGAAUGGAACUACCAUGAGAACGACAAAAAUGCAAACUAAUGAAGAUUGUACAUUUGGCAAAGACAAUUUGAAAGUGGAAGUGCUUUAUCAAGCAGAUAAUCAAGAAGAUUUGAACAUAUUGGAAAAUGAAUGGUACAAAUCUAAUCGAGCUAUUGCCAUUCAUAAAGAAAUAUCCAAACGAUACAAACCAAACCUGAUUAAAAAAAAAAAACGAAUCAAAGGAUGGUGGAUUUCUAGGUGUGCGUGUUGCGAAUGACAUACCCGUUGAACAGAAUAAAGAUAAUAACAAUAACAAGACUGGUUCAGAGAAAAACGAAGAGAUACCAAAACCAGGAUUAUGCUCGACUGAAAACCUGAAACUUAUUGGAAGGCAUUUACUGAAAUAUAAGAUCUUAUAUGGACCUCUUCUGACAAUAGGGCUUUUAUUAUGUGGGUGUGACAUAAAAGAUAUAAUUGAAGUCAUUCGCUUAUUCGACCCACGUGUCAGCAACAAAAUAUAUGAAAUUUUAGCCUUAAUAAUAAAUAAAACGGAUGAUACAACGCAAAGUAACACUGCUUGAUAUAAACUUAGGUUAUAGCUUAAUCGUUGCCUUAUCAACAGUUGAAUUUAGGUUAAUGUAGUAUAAGACGUUUUGAGAAAUUAAAUAUUUUCUUUAAAUAUUGCAA